UUCUUCUUCUUCUAGCUUUUCUCUUAUUUUUCUGUUUUGGUGACAUAACCAAAGGCCAGAGCUGCUUCAUCUUCAUUUGUUGGCAUUUGCCUUGUUCUUUUUUUAGUAAUGCCGUUUUCACUGUGACUGGUUUAGUGAUGCCGCCAAAAAAUUCUUGAAUGGCUGAUGCCUGAUAGGGCAAUGAAGCCUUUCAGCAUUUCCGAAGAUCAGACAAAGGCAGCGGUCAAAGAACUUCUGAAAGUCUAUGCAAACAGCUUGGGAGUUUAUUAUUGAUGAAAAUUAGACUUUUGCUGGACUUUGUUCUGGACCAGAAGCCAGAGGGGGAAAAGUUGAUCUGAAAAUUAUUAAUCUAUGAUGGUGCAUCAUCCUCAGCCUCCAAUAACCACAAAAAACGGAAGCCCAGACUUGGCAGAUCCCUCUGUCGUUGUCUUUGUGUUAAGGCCCUGCAAAGUACCGAUUUCAGCUGAGAUUGGAGAAAGAUUGGCUUGCUAUGAAGGUAGAAAUGAGAAAGAAUGACAUGCUUUGCUGCCAUGGCCCCUCAAGAGAAGAAUUUUCAAUAUCAAGAUGGAUGAGUGAUAUUCUUUCCUGUUCCUAAAUUUAUAAUAUGUUUGGUUCAUAUUAUGGUUUACCAACUUGGUGUAGAGUCGGUUGACUGUAGUUGUGUAGAUGUAGCUAGUAAUAUCAGCUAGCAUUUGUGAACCAUCAUGAUUAAACUAUUGUUCAAUUGCAUAGGUUAUAGAAUUUGUAUGGUUUUUUCUAAUUAGCUGACCCAAAUUAUGAUAUAGUAAUGUAUGGUUUUGCAGUACAAUAUCAAAUAUUACUGUGUGGUUGGAAUUGAGCACAUUGAGAGGCAGUUCUUGGCCAGUAUGUAACUUCUCUGUAAGGAUAGGCCUUGGGUAUCAUUUAGACGCUAACCAAACAGAAGAAGAAGAAGAAGGAAGGACGAAGAAGGAAGAAGGAAGAAGGAAGAAGGAAGAGAAUGAGAGAGUCACAAAUGUAGACGAAGUCAUGGUUUUUGCUCUGUGGUUCUGGCUAUGGCUCAGAGAGAGAGACUUUGUGAGAACCUGUGAGACCGUUUGGGGCUCUUUGGUUUUAUCGGAUAGGAGAGCUGGGCUUUGAGCUUCUCGUCUACACAAGAGGACAGGUCCAAUCUUGGCUGUUGACUGAUGGUAGGAAUUAGGAAAUGCUCUGCCAUCCAUUAAAAUAGUAUUAAUGGGUUUUGGGUAAUGAUAUGUUUGGGUGACAAAAAGCCGUACAGCCUAAAAAAAUAUAAAGAAUC